rnacentral:antisense_RNA from 1 species
GGGGCUCCCUGCCCAGAAAGACAGUGAUGGGGGUUUCUAGAACAAGGAAAGCCAGAAGGUUCCCAGAUGUCCAGGAGACAGGAAAUGAGAAUUUCAGAGCCAGCGGGAACACAAGGUGCCUCACUGAGCUGCUGGAACAUGAAAGGUGACAAACACACUGAAAAUGAGAGCCAUCUCGGGAGCACCUGAACACAGAUGUCCAUAAAGGAGCUCGUGAACACCACGGUUCCUCCCGGGACCCAUCCCAUCCAGGCCUCCUCCCCCUCCACCAUGCUCUCUGUGGCUACUCUGGGUCUAACACAACCGCUAGAAAAACUAUCCCCAAACAGGCACAGUGAGAGCACACGAACAGACACGCUGAUACAGUUCAGACAUUUGUCCCUUCCAAAUCUCAUAUUGAAAUGCCAUCUCCAGUGUUGGAGGUGAGGCCUGGUGGGAGGUAUUGGAUCAUGGAGGUGAACCCCUCAUGAAUGGCUUUGCACCAUCUCCUUG